rnacentral:rRNA from 1 species
AGGGAGUCUGAGAAACGGCUACCACAUCCAAGGAUG